rnacentral:snRNA from 1 species
GUGCUCGCUUCGGCGGCACAUAACACUAAAACUGGAAUGAUACAGAGAUUGGCAUGGCCCCUGCACUAGAAUGACAAGCAAGUUCAUGAAGCGCUCCGUAGUAAA